UUGUUAAUUUAACUUGCAGAUUGAUGAUAUAGAUCUCAUUAGUGCAAACAUGGAAAAUUCACUGGCUUCUAUUGGAGGAUUUUGCUGUGGAAGAUCUUUUAUAAUUGACCAUCAGCGAUUGUCUGGUCAAGGCUAUUGCUUUUCUGCAUCCCUUCCUCCUUUGUUAGCUGCUGCUGCUAUUGAGGCUCUGAACAUUAUGGAAGACAAUCCAGACAUUUUUCAGACUCUUCGGGCUAAAUGCAAACGAAUUCACAGAGCUUUACAGGGGUAAGUGAUUCCAAGUUUUUAAAACCUGAUAUAGGUGUUGAAAUGACAUUAU